rnacentral:tRNA from 1 species
GUUUCUAUAGUUGAAUAACAACGAUGAUUUUUCAUGUCAUUGGUCAUAGUNAAAGUCUAUGUAGAAAUU